rnacentral:rRNA from 1 species
AACGAACGCUGGCGGCAUGCCUAACACAUGCAAGUCGAACGCGUGUAGCAAUACACGAGUGGCGGACGGGUGAGUAACGCGUGGGAACCUGCCCAGUGGUAGGGAAUAACUGCGGGAAACUGCAGCUAAUACCCUAUACGCCCUUUGGGGGAAAGAUUCAUCGCCAUUGGAGGGGCCCGCGUCGGAUUAGCUAGUUGGCGGGGUAACGGCCCACCAAGGCAACGAUCCGUAGCUGGUCNGAGAGGAUGAUCAGCCACACUGGGACUGAGAUACGGCCCAGACUCCUACGGGAGGCAGCAGUGGGGAAUAUUGGACAAUGGGGGAAACCCUGAUCCAGCAAUGCCGCGUGAGUGAAGAAGGCC